CAUAGUAAUGGGCAUCUUGUAUCUUUUAAAGACCUAGUUAAUAGGUAUGCUUUAGGAGGGGCUUGCGCCAUAUUAGUUAGUUGGUAGGGUAAUGGCCUACCAAGACGAUGAUGUGUAGCUGGACUGAGAGGUUGAACAGCCACAUUGGGACUGAGACACGGCCCAAACUCCUACGGGAGGCAGCAGUAGGGAAUUUUCGGCAAUGGAGGAAACUCUGACCGAGCAACGCCGCGUGAAUGACGAAGUACUUCGGUAUGUAAAGUUCUUUUAUCGAGGAAGAAAAGCAAAUGGCGAACCAUUUGUUUGCCGGUACUUGAUGAAUAAGCCCCGGCUAAUUAUGUGCCAGCAGCCGCGGUAAGACAUAAGGGGCAAGUGUUAUCCGGAAUUAUUGGGCGUAAAGGGUGCGUAGGCGGUCUAGUAAGUCAGUGGUGUAAUGUCAACGCUUAACGUUGUCCGGCUAUUGAAACUGCUAAACUUGAGUUAGAUAGAGGCGAGUGGAAUUCCAUGUGUAGCGGUAAAAUGCGUAAAUAUAUGGAGGAACACCAGAGGCGUAGGCGGCUCGCUGGGUCUUAACUGACGCUGAGGCACGAAAGCGUGGGAAGCAAACAGGAUUAGAUACCCUGGUAGUCCACGCCGUAAACGAUGAGUACUAAGUGUCGGGUUAAACCGGUACUGAAGUUAACACAUUAAGUACUCCGCCUGAGUAGUACGUACGCAAGUAUGAAACUUAAAGGAAUUGACGGGACUCCGCACAAGCGGUGGAUCAUGUUGUUUAAUUCGAAGAUACCCGAAAAACCUUACCAGGUCUUGACAUGUUUUUGCAAAAUGAUAGUAAUAUCGUGGAGGUUACCAGAAACACAGGUGGUGCAUGGUUGUCGUCAGCUCGUGUCGUGAGAUGUUAGGUUAAGUCCUAAAACGAGCGAAACCCUUAUCGUUAGUUGCCAGCACGUUAUGGUGGGGACUUUAACGAGACUGCCAAUGAUAAAUUGGAGGAAGGUGAGGAUCACGUCAAAUCAGCAUGCCCUUAUGACCUGGGCUACAAACGUGAUACAAUGCUGUUACAAAGGGUAGCUGAAACGCAAGUCUUGGCCAAUCCCCAAAACAGUCCCAGUUCCGGAUUGAAGUUCUGCAACUCGACUUCAUGAAGUU
rnacentral:rRNA from 1 species